rnacentral:rRNA from 1 species
AUUGUAAUUUCGAGAACCCAUGGGAAGCGCUCAUGGCCGAACUCCCUUAAGUGGAAACGUGGGAACAACAGAUUAAUCCCUGGUAGUCCCCCGUAACGAUAAUCCCAUCGUCGGCAGCAUGUUGUUCGGUGACACACCUAACGGAUUAAGCAUUCCGCCUGGGAGUACGUUCGCAAGAUUAAAACUCAAAGGAAUUGACGGCUGCCCGCACAAGCGGUGGAGCAUGUGGUUUAAUUCGAAGCAACGCGCAGAACCUUACCAACCCUUGACAUGGCAGUGACCGUUCCAGAGAUGGUCCUUUCUCGCAAGAGACACUGCACACAGGUGCUGCAUGGCUGUCGUCAGCUCGUGUCGUGAGAUGUUCGGUUAAGUCCGGCAACGAGCGCAACCCACGCCUUUAGUUGCCAGCAUUCAGUUGGGCACUCUAAAGGAACUGCCGGUGAUAAGCCGGAGGAAGGUGUGGAUGACGUCAAGUCCUCAUGGCCCUUACGGGUUGGGCUACACACGUGCUACAAUGGUGGUGACAAUGGGUUAAUCCCAAAAAGCCAUCUCAGUUCGGAUUGUCGUCUGCAACUCGGCGGCAUGAAGUCGGAAUCGCUAGUAAUCGCGUAACAGCAUGACGCGGUGAAUACGUUCCCGGGCCUUGUACACACCGCCCGUCACACCAUGGGAAUUGGAUCCACCCGAAGGCGGUGCGCCAACCAGCAAUGGAGGCAGCCGGCCACGGUGGGCUCAGUGACUG